AACGCGAAGAACCUUACCUGGGCUCGAAAUGUAGUGGAAUACGGUGGAAACAUCGUCGUCUCGCAAGAGACUGCUAUAUAGGUGCUGCAUGGCUGUCGUCAGCUCGUGUCGUGAGAUGUUGGGUUAAGUCCCGCAACGAGCGCAACCCUUAUCCCUAGUUGCCAUCGGGUCAAGCCGGGCACUCUAGUGAAACCGCUCAGGAUAACUGGGAGGAAGGUGGGGAUGACGUCAAGUCCUCAUGGCCUUUAUGUCCAGGGCUACACACGUGCUACAAUGGUCGGUACAAACCGUCGCAAACCCGCGAGGGGGAGCUAAUCGGAAAAAGCCGGCCUCAGUUCGGAUUGGAGUCUGCAACCCGACUCCAUGAAGCUGGAAUCGCUAGUAAUCGCGGAUCAGAACGCCGCGGUGAAUACGUUCCCGGGCCUUGUA
rnacentral:rRNA from 1 species